rnacentral:rRNA from 1 species
GAUGAACGCUGGCGGCGUGCCUAAUACAUGCAAGUCGAGCGAACAGAUAAGGAGCUUGCUCCUUUGACGUUAGCGGCGGACGGGUGAGUAACACGUGGGUAACCUACCUAUAAGACUGGAAUAACUCCGGGAAACCGGGGCUAAUGCCGGAUAACAUGUUGAACCGCAUGGUUCUACAGUGAAAGGCGGCUUUGCUGUCACUUAUAGAUGGACCCGCGCCGUAUUAGCUAGUUGGUGAGGUAACGGCUCACCAAGGCAACGAUACGUAGCCGACCUGAGAGGGUGAUCGGCCACCCUGGAACUGAGACACGGUCCAGACUCCUACGGGAGGCAGCAGUAGGGAAUCUUCCGCAAUGGGCGAAAGCCUGACGGAGCAACGCCGCGUGAGUGAUGAAGGUCUUCGGAUCGUAAAACUCUGUUAUUAGGGAAGAACAAAUGCGUAAGUAACUGUGCGCGUCUUGACGGUACCUAAUCAGAAAGCCACGGCUAACUACGUG